UAACAUUGGGACGGACUGUGGGUUGAUUUAUAAUUUUUCGGGGACUCUUUAGAAAAAAUGGCGCGGCGAAGGGGUACCCGCGGCCCUCGGCCGCCCGAUCAGAGCUCGACGCGCCCGAUUAAAUCCAGGCAACCACGAAUCUGUGCCCCACACCGACCGUCAGAUCCCGAUCCAACAGCUGAUAAUUGCUACUGCCCCGAGUCGUUCAUCAUCGAAUCAAUGACCCGGAUCAAACCUCGCGAAACGGUAUGUCGUGGUCUAAUCUAGACCGUCGAUGGCCAGAUCGACGGCACGCGCUUUCCCCCACUCCUUUCGGGUGCCAAGAUGCACCCCCGGCGGCGGCGUAUGACGCUACGGUGGCGAACCUCGGCGGAGCAUCACCGAUCAGACCGGAGUCCAAGGCGCAGGUGACGACUGAGCUCAAAUCGAUGCAAAGGCUAUGAUGGAUACAAUGGAAGGGUUCAUACCGGCGGUUAGGGAUGGUAGCAGUGCUGACCACACCACUAGGUGGAAUCUGUGGCGGUGGUGAACGUCGGCGAGCGAUUCCGCUGCCGCGCAGCACUAUCCACACCCAGGGACGACGCCACCACGCUCCAGAGGCACCGGCGAUCAAACUAGGCUAACUUUUGAGGCCCGACCGUGGGUGAAUCCUGUCACCGAUGAUGGUGGCACUCACAAUCUCACUCCGCACGGCGACGGCCCAAGACGUUGGUGCCCACGGCCUCACUUUCUCGCGGCGAGUCCCCCCUAAUCCACCAACGAUGAAGGCCCUGGUGCAGUAUUUAUCCCAUGCAGAAGGUCGCCCGCCCGUGAUCCCCGUUGAGCGGGCUCUGUUUGCGAAGGAAAGGGGAAGAGGAACAGGGGAAGGUCUUGGUCCCACUCGCCAGCCGGAUAACGAGCGCGCACACAGAUGAGCAUGCAGUCACAUGAGGAAACAGACAUGUGAGCCCCGCGCGUAAGUGAGUCCGAACGUGGUGGAGUUGCUAUUGGGCCGAAGGGAGAGGAAGGAGGCCCACGCGUCGGUUUCGUUUUCCCU
rnacentral:lncRNA from 7 species